rnacentral:rRNA from 1 species
AUUGAACGCUGGCGGCAUGCCUUACACAUGCAAGUCGAACGGCAGCACGGGAGCAAUCCUGGUGGCGAGUGGCGAACGGGUGAGUAAUAUAUCGGAACGUGCCCAGUCGUGGGGAUAACGUAGCGAAAGCUACGCUAAUACCGCAUACGAUCUAUGGAUGAAAGCGGGGGAUCGCAAGACCUCGCGCGAUUGGAGCGGCCGAUAUCAGAUUAGGUAGUUGGUGAGGUAAAGGCUCACCAAGCCGACGAUCUGUAGCUGGUCUGAGAGGACGACCAGCCACACUGGGACUGAGACACGGCCCAGACUCCUACGGGAGGCAGCAGUGGGGAAUUUUGGACAUGGGCGCAAGCCUGAUCCAGCAAUGCCGCGUGCAGGAUGAAGGCCUUCGG